UACGUAGGGUGCGAGCGUUGCCCGGAAUUACUGGGCGUAAAGAGCUCGUAGGUGGUUUGUCGCGUUGUUCGUGAAAACCGGGGGCUUAACCCUCGGCGUGCGGGCGAUACGGGCAGACUUGAGUACUGCAGGGGAGACUGGAAUUCCUGGUGUAGCGGUGAAAUGCGCAGAUAUCAGGAGGAACACCGGUGGCCGAAGGCGGGUCUCUGGGCCGAUGACUGACGCUGAGGAGCGAAAGCAUGGGGAGCGAACAGG
rnacentral:rRNA from 1 species